CAGGCUCCGGUUCACGCCGACAUCCGACGGCGACCCGGCGGCC
rnacentral:ncRNA from 1 species